AGUCGAGGGGCAGCAUGGUCUUAGCUUGCUAAGGCCGAUGGCGACCGGCGCACGGGUGAGUAACACGUAUCCAACCUGCCGUCUACUCUUGGACAGCCUUCUGAAAGGAAGAUUAAUACAAGAUGGCAUCAUGAGUCCGCAUGUUCACAUGAUUAAAGGUAUUCCGGUAGACGAUGGGGAUGCGUUCCAUUAGAUAGUAGGCGGGGUAACGGCCCACCUAGUCUUCGAUGGAUAGGGGUUCUGAGAGGAAGGUCCCCCACAUUGGAACUGAGACACGAUCCAAACUCCUACGGGAGGCAGCAGUGAGGAAUAUUGGUCAAUGGGCGAGAGCCUGAACCAGCCAAGUAGCGUGAAGGAUGACUGCCCUAUGGGUUGUAAACUUCUUUUAUAAAGGAAUAAAGUCGGGUAUGGAUACCCGUUUGCAUGUACUUUAUGAAUAAGGAUCGGCUAACUCCGUGCCAGCAGCCGCGGUAAUACGGAGGAUCCGAGCGUUAUCCGGAUUUAUUGGGUUUAAAGGGAGCGUAGAUGGAUGUUUAAGUCAGUUGUGAAAGUUUGCGGCUCAACCGUAAAAUUGCAGUUGAUACUGGAUAUCUUGAGUGCAGUUGAGGCAGGCGGAAUUCGUGGUGUAGCGGUGAAAUGCUUAGAUAUCACGAAGAACUCCGAUUGCGAAGGCAGCCUGCUAAGCUGCAACUGACAUUGAGGCUCGAAAGUGUGGGUAUCAAACAGGAUUAGAUACCCUGGUAGUCCACACGGUAAACGAUGAAUACUCGCUGUUUGCGAUAUACUGCAAGCGGCCAAGCGAAAGCGUUAAGUAUUCCACCUGGGG
rnacentral:rRNA from 1 species